CACCGGAAACGGCCCGCCCCGCUUUAUGGUCUCGUAAACGGCCCCAUGAAAGGGGAAGCCUCCCCUCAGGGGGGGCAGCUGUGGGACGGGGCUCCGGGCCAUGGGGGAGGGUCUCAGAAGCUCCCCAGCCCCUCCCCUCCCAGGAGCAGGUUCUUGAGCUCCGUGGUCCACGGGCCGUUACCCACCCACGCUGCACCGCGCUCUUCAAUGAACAGAUCACCCCGCGCCGCCGCGCCCCCACGAGAGGAAUGCUGUUUUGAAUUUCUACCCAAGCACCGGGACCCCUGGUCGCUGAGGAGUGAAACCCGGGCUGCUGUCCGCUCACGGGCAGGGACGGCCGGGCGCUGCCAGCUCUUCAGAUGGAGAGAAGGAGAGGAGAGCGGGAAGCUGUUGAAUGUCGGAUGUGGUCCCACUUCAGGACGAAGGACCGGCUCGGAGGUCCCUGCACGGGGGUUAACGGGCCGCGGGCUGGGUCCCGCUCGGCCUGGAAGGCCAGGCUCCGGGGUCCCCCAGAAGCCGGAGCCGUGGGCUUCCCAUGAGUCCCGAGGCGGCUGCUAAAGGACCCUCCAGAGGCGCGGUGCGCGCCCGCCGCCUGGUGAGCCCCUUCGGUCUUUAACAGACGGAGGCAGGGGAGGUGGGCGACGUGAGCGCCCAGCUCUGCGGAGGCCCCCCUCCCGCCCCUGCGGGGUCUGUACCCGCCGAGCUUGACGCCUGCGGAGGAGGCCUCCGCGCUGAGCGGCAGGGGACACGCGCCCCCCCGACCUGCGUGGCGGGCGGGGACUCUGGGCCCCGGCGACGGGCGGAAGCGGCGCCUGUCACAGGCGGGCCUCUUCCUCACAGGCCGGGCUUCUCCAGUGCCGUGACCGCGACACUCUUUAAUUUAACUCGAGCUUCUCAGGAAGCACCCGGCCACACGCCUUGGCGCCAGGCCGAGGGGGCGGGGGGCGCUGUGGAGGGCGCAGGCCACGGACCCCCGCCUGCGAAGGCCCUGAGAGAAAGACCCCAGCAAGCAGGCUGCGGGGCACCUGGCGGCGGGGACCCCAUUUGGAACGGUCAAGGAAAAGCCGGGAUCCCCUUAAGGGCCUGGGGGUGGGGUCGUCAGAACAGCCGACAGCUGGGCCCCUGCCCCAGCAGCAAAGAGGAGGGACAGUGAACCCCCUAAGAGGUGACCGCCCAGCCAGGUGCUGCACCUGCACCUGGGGGCGGGUCGUCUGUUCUUUCCUCCCGUUUCUUUUCUCUUCUCCCUUUUGCUUGGUAACUACAGGCCUAACUAACCGGCGUGUUCCUGCAGUCUUUCAGGUGACAGCCAAGAGCCGCAAGGAGCCCGCUCGGCCGGGGCCCAGGCUCCAGCUGCGGGGGGGAGUCGCGGCCCUACACAGCAAGCUUCUCGCAGGAAACGCAGGGGCGCCCGCGGUCUGUGGGCCCCAGGACGACAGGCGACGGUCCCCAGCUUCUGUGGCCCUUUCCUGGCUCACAGCGAGGGGUCUCACCAGGGACUGGCGGGGAUGCCGCUGUGUCUGGGAUGCCUGGCUUUCGCAGUGGGCUGAGAGCUAUAAUCGAUUUGGGGAUUCGUCCAGUGCAUACAUCCCCCCUUCCUGGGUUCAAGGCUCUGCUCUAUGGGUUCACAAGUAGGAUCCUGUGCCCUCCUCACCUCAGCCCCAAGAGGAAGUGACAUUACUAGUGUCCUUUUUAUGGAUGAGGAAUGAAGCACAGAGAGCCGUGUCAGGGCCACAUGGCCAGAGACCGAUUGAAUCUGUGCAGACACCAGCAUCACCACCACAGCUAUGCUGACUCCUUUUUGAUGACAAAGUAGGUUUCCGUCUUCCAAGGAUGGAUGAAAUACAGGAAGCGAAGAUGGAGGGAGAGGAGGUGGAGGGCUGAGGUGCAGAGAAGGUGGAGGGCUGAUGAGGAGAAGGUGGAGGGCCGAUGAGGAGAAGGUGGAGGGCCAAGGUGGAGAGAAGGUGGAGGACCGAUGAGGAGAAGGUGGAGGGCUGAUGAAGAGAAGGUGGAGGGCCAAGGAGGAGAGAAGGUGGAGGGCCAAGGAGGAGAGAAGGUGGAGGGCCGAGGUGGAGAGAAGGUAGAGGGCUGAGGUAGAGAGAAGGUAGAGGGCUGAGGUGGAGAGAAGGUGGGCUGAGGCAGAGAGAAGGUGGGGGCUGAGGCAGAGAGAAGGUGGGGGCUGAGGUGGAGAGAGGAGAAUGGGCUGGAGAGGGAAGGGGAGGGGCCGUCUGGUCUGGGCACCUGUGCUGCCACCCUCCACCCUGUCCUCCGGCCCCGCCACCCCAGGUCUGCCUCAUGGCCAUCCAUCUACUCCACGCAGGUCUCCUGCCUCCUUGGAAGUAGCUGUCCAUGGCUCCUGUUUGCCGGGCCUGGCGCCCCAGGCAGGACCUGCAGGGAAAUCUUAGGGCAUGAGCCUGGGCGGGGCCCGGCCAUGUUCUGUCCUCCAGCUCUUAAAAGCCUCCUACUCUUUUACAAAUCCCGGUUCAGGCCUAAAUGAUCCCGAUAAUUGAGCGCCCGCCCGCCACUUUGUUGGCAUAGACACCAUUCGUGUGUAAGCCGAGAAUAUUCUAUCUGCCAUGGAGCUCCUUCCAAAGGCAUUAUUUCUAAGCUUCUUUAAGAAACAAAUUUCCUGUUGCCAUGGAAAUCAUCUCUCGGCUAAUUUUAUCGGGCUCAGGAGCCCGGGCUGGAAGCUGCUCUCUGUUUCCCAGGUUUCCUGCUUGGCAGAGCCCUGGUUGUCUUUGUCAAAUGAGACUUCCAGACCUGCACUUCCUCUUGAGCGAGACGGUUCAGAGGAUGGUCACACGUUGGUGCUGAAUUUCAAAAGCCUCGACAUCAUCUCGGUGGGCGUUUUUAAAUGAGGAAACACACAGAGAAGAUUCAGGGCUUCGUAAAUGCCCGCUUUCUGGAAGCUGGGAGGGAACUCUGUUAAAGUGUGAGGUUUCCAAGCUAGAAAAGCCUUUAGAAAAUUCAGAGUCAACAUUUUUUGAGCACCCAGCCUGUGCCCGCUGCGGGGACCCGGGGGAGCAGGUCACCUUGCGUCCCAGGACUUGAUGACCUGACGAGAGUUCAGCUGGUUUGGCGCUGGAAAGCACUGCGAGAAUCACCUCCUGUCAGAGUCCAAUUUUGCAAACGGGCGAAUUCAUCCAAGUUGGCAUGGAGCGUUCAGAACCGAAGGCUCUCCGCUCCCGGCGUCUUUGGAUGAAGUCCGAGCUGACCUCCUGAGCGGCCCCAGCCUGUCCCAGCCUCCUCUCGCCUGGCCUGCCCUGCGCCCAGCUCAUGCCACACCUUGAGCGCCUUCACUGCCCUACCUUGCUCCUCGCACUCUGUGUCCUGUGCUUUCGGCGCCUGCUCCCAGAAACGCACUCUCGUCCACUCUUACCCCCCACCCUUCCAGGCUCACGUCCAGCUCCACCUUUUCUGGGAUUUCUCUGAGCACCAGCAGGCUCUCUGGCAGUAGCGCGCGCCCUGCCUUACUGUUAUGUGUGCGCCAUCUUGUCUCAUGGGCGGUCAUCCCGCAUCCGGGGCUUUGGGGAUGACCCGGAUCGGAGGGGGCGCUCAGGGAGUGCUUGACGAAAGCGGCGGUCUGGCAGUUGACCCUUGAGAGCCUGGACACAUAGGCACUGUCUCGAGCGGGCUGACCCCAUCAAUACCCACCCCCUCCCCCUGCCUCUAGGAGGCCCAACUACCGUUACCCUACUUUACCUCUGGGGACAGUGAGGCACAGAAAGGUCACUGCCAAAGCCACCCAGCUAGAAAUGACUGGAGCUGGGACUCACACCCCGGCGGCUUGCCUCCGGGUCUUUCAGUUUAACAGCGACUCGGAGCUGUCUCUCUGACCAGUGCCUUCUGGUCGAGGUGAAACGGCUCGUUGCUGAGUUACCAGGAUCUCCAUGGUCAACUGACCAUUCCCCCGCCACACAAGCUGUGGCCGGUGGAGCAGGGUUCAGAGCUGGGAGGCCUGCCUCAAGGCAGCUGCGCCCGCUGCUCCAGCACACUGCCUCCGAAAGGCAGCGAGAGGUUACGUGGCACUGCGCACAAAUAUUCCAGAGACCGCCUCUUCCAUGGACCUUUCUAAUUUCUCUUACUUACCUUACCUUACUCCACUUCAAGUACUCCAGUUCAGGGGAUGUUCCUACUCGACAGUACAGCAGAGCUGACGGCUUUCUCUUCUUUGGGGCAUGUGACAAAUGUCUGUGCAUGGGGUCAACUCUCUCCGUCAAAGGGAAUCCUUCCCUCAUGAGCAGAGGGCGUUCGUCUUGUUCUGUCACUUCUAUCUGAAUAAUGCCUGAAAAUUUUGAACUUCUGGAAUCAAAGGGAUAACUAGAGAGCAACGGCAUCAUCUCCCAAGGGAUGGGCGCGGAGGGCUGCGACUCCGGUGCAGGCAGCCUUCCUUCCUCGUCGGGAGGUGGGGCGAGUCCUCCAGCCUGGGAGCGGCAGGCUGGCUGCAGGGAUUGCUCGCCCUGGCCUUGCCGCUGGCCGCCCUGGCGGGGGGCCCUGCUUGUCCUGCUCAGGCUAGCCCCGUGCACAGCAGGUGCAGGCGGGAGCGGUCAGCGCUCCUCCCUGCGCCGCCCGGCCCUCUAAGGGUGCUGCUUAAAGGUCAAGGGCGUGGCAGGCGCGACGGUCGGGGGCACAAGGUCUGGGCCCCACGCUGACCGGCGUGUCUUCCUGGCCACCCUCCUGCCGUCCGCCCUGGCCUUGAGGGCUCUGUGUUUCCCUGAGCCUCCUUCCAGCCCUCUCAGGUCACGCUGGCGUCGGGCAGGCCGGUGGGCGGAGCUCCUGUGCGCCGGGCCCGCCAGGGGCAGGGGCUGUUUCCUGGGUGGCAGGAGGUGUCACCAGCUGCACGCUCCCACCCCAGCAGCAAGGCCUGGGGGCUUCCCCCGGCUCAAACACGCACGGCCCCGUGUGGGCACCGGCCGCCGUUGCCAGCCUCUCCUCUUGGGCCUGGAGCUCGUGUCUGGACUGCGGAGCAACGUUCUGCUGCAUGUUCCAGUUCUCCCGGCCGGGGUCC
rnacentral:lncRNA from 1 species